UACGUAGGGGGCAAGCGUUGUCCGGAAUCAUUGGGCGUAAAGCGCGUGUAGGCGGUUCGGUAAGUCGGCUGUGAAAGUCCAGGGCUCAACCCUGGGAUGCCGGUCGAUACUGCCGGGCUAGAGUUCGGAAGAGGCGAGUGGAAUUCCCGGUGUAGCGGUGAAAUGCGCAGAUAUCGGGAGGAACACCAAUGGCGAAGGCAGCUCGCUGGGACGUUACUGACGCUGAGACGCGAAAGCGUGGGGAGCAAACAGG
rnacentral:rRNA from 1 species